AAGUCGUAACAAGGUUUCCGUAGGUGAACCUGCGGAAGGAUCAUUACUAGAUUGUCUCUCUAGACAUCUAACCAUGUGUGAACUGUUUACUCUGACCUGGUGUCUCUGGCCCGUUGACCUCAGUCAACUUGCUUAGGCGGCCUCGGCUGUCUGGGGAGUUGGUUUGGGGGUCGUCGCCUGGGCACCAACUUUACUUGAACCACUCUCUGAACCUGUACUGAAGCCUAUAAGAAGCAAAGACUAGAAAACUUUUAGCAAUGGAUCUCUAGGCUCUU
rnacentral:misc_RNA from 1 species